GAUAACAUGGUUAUUCUCAUACUUCAACUCUGAGUCAGUCCUCUUGGUCCCACCAAAGAAUGGUUGCCGCAAUAUCAACCCUUGAAUCUUCAACGGCUCAAGAUCAUUCACCUCCGCUGAAGCACGUAGACCUACAUGGUAUGCGAUAUUUCCCCCAGCGCUGCUUCCCAUCAGGUAACAAUUAGAGUAAUCAGCAUAUUUUGUCAGCCACUCAUCUUUGCUGGUUCUGAUGCAGUGCAGCGCUUCCAUGGCGUCGUCAUACGCGGCUGGUAACCGGUGCUCCGGCGCGAGGCGGUAUUCGACGGAGGCAACGAUGGCUUGGACAGUUUCCGCCAUUUCCACUAAGAAGCUGUGGAACAAGGUGGAAGCAGCACUGAGCACAAUGAAGC
rnacentral:lncRNA from 1 species